CCUACAUCCUGGAACCUGGAGAGUACCCCACCUCAGAGGCCUGGGGCACAUCGGACCCUAGCGUGGGCUCCCUGAAGCCCAUGAGAUUGGGCUGCCCAAGUGUGGAGAAGCCAGGGGAGCCCAGGGCUGUGGUGUAUGAGGCCCCAGGCUUUCAGGGCCGCAGCUGGGAAGUGAGCCGAGACAUCUACAACCUUCAGCAGCCAGAGGACAGCCAGAGCCCCCACCUGGCCUCUGUGGGGUCCCUGAGAGUUCUUGGGGGCUGCUGGGUGGGCUACGAGAAGGAGGGCUUCCGGGGCCACCAGUAUCUGCUGGAGGAGGGGGAAUACCCAGACUGGUCACACUGGGGAGGCUAUGACGAGUUGCUGACCUCCCUCCGGGUCAUCCGGACGGACUUCGGGGACCCGGCCGUCGUGCUAUUUGAGGCCAUGGACUUCGAGGGGCACGGCGUGGAGGUGAGCAAGGCAUUGCCGGAUGUGGAGCUGGUGCAACACGGCCCCAGCACACAGGCCAUCCACGUGCUCAGUGGCGUGUGGGUGGCCUACCAGGAGGUGGGCUUCUCCGGGGAACAGUACGUGCUGGAGAAGGGCGUGUACCGUAACUGCGAGGACUGGGGUGCUGGCAACAGCGCCCUCGCCUCGCUGCAGCCGGUCCUACAGGUGCGUGCCGGCCGCGGGGGGCGGGGCCUCCCCGGUGGCGGGACCUGGAGUUCGGGUGCGCCCCGCCCACACGCAGAGGUAGAGGGCUGGAGGACCUGCCUGGGCGCUUGGGGCGGGGCCUUGGAAGGGGGCGGGGCCGA
rnacentral:sRNA from 1 species